rnacentral:rRNA from 1 species
GGCUAUUCGAUCUCANAUAAUGRAGAGUCGGACCUGCCCAGUGAAAUAUUUUAACGGCCGCGGUACUCUGACCGUGCAAAGGUAGCAUAAUCAUUUGCCCUAUAAUUGGGGGCUGGUAUGAACGGUUUGACAAGAGCAAUUCUGUCUCUAUAUAAUUUUAUAAAAUUUAAUUUUCAGCUGAAGAAGCCUGAAUUUAAUUAAAAGACAAGAAGACCCUAUCGAGCUUUAAAGUAAUUAAAAGAUAAAUACAUAUAUUUAUAAACUUAUAACUUUUAAAAAUUUUGGUUGGGGCGACCUAGGAACAAAUAAAGCUUCUUUAUAUAAAAAAAUAUACAUAUUUUGACCCAAAAAUUUUGAUUAAAGAAAUUAGUUACCGUAGGGAUAACAGCAUAAUCUUUUUUGAGAGCUCCUAUCGAAAAAAAGGCUUGUGACCUCGAUGUUGGACCAAAAUAUCCUAAAGAUGUAGUCGUCUUUAAGGGUUGGUCUGUUCGACCAUUAAAAUUUUACCUGAUCUGAGUUCAAACCG